rnacentral:rRNA from 1 species
GGCCUAACACAUGCAAGUCGAGGGGUAUAGGAGGCUUGCUUCCUAGAGACCGGCGCACGGGUGCGUAACGCGUAUGCAACCUACCUUUAUCUGGGGGAUAGCCCGAAGAAAUUCGGAUUAACACCGCAUAAAAUCACAGUAUCGCAUGAUACAAUGAUCAAAUAUUUAUAGGAUAAAGAUGGGCAUGCGUGUCAUUAGUUAGUUGGCGGGGUAACGGCCCACCAAGACCACGAUGACUAGGGGAUCUGAGAGGAUGACCCCCCACACUGGUACUGAGACACGGACCAGACUCCUACGGGAGGCAGCAGUAAGGAAUAUUGGUCAAUGGAGGCAACUCUGAACCAGCCAUGCCGCGUGCAGGAAGACGGCCCUCUGGGUUGUAAACUGCUUUUAUUCGGGAAUAAACCUAUCUACGUGUAGAUAGCUGAAUGUACCGAAGGAAUAAGGAUC